rnacentral:rRNA from 1 species
UGGGGAAUAUUGGACAAUGGGCGAAAGCCUGAUCCAGCCAUGCCGCGUGUGUGAAGAAGGUCUUCGGAUUGUAAAGCACUUUAAGUUGGGAGGAAGGGCAGUAAGCGAAUACCUUGCUGUUUUGACGUUACCGACAGAAUAAGCACCGGCUAACUCUGUGCCAGCAGCCGCGGUAAUACAGAGGGUGCAAGCGUUAAUCGGAAUUACUGGGCGUAAAGCGCGCGUAGGUGGUUCGUUAAGUUGAAUGUGAAAGCCCCGGGCUCAACCUGGGAACUCCAUCCAAAACUGGCGAGCUAGAGUAGGGCAGAGGGGGGUGGAAUUUCCUGUGUAGCGGUGAAAUGCGUAGAUAUAGGAGGAACACCAGUGGCGAAGGCGACCACCUGGGCUCAUACUGACACUGAGGUGCGAAAGCGUGGGGAGCAAACAGG